rnacentral:sRNA from 1 species
UUAUGAUGAACAUUAUCAGUUAUCCCUGUCAGAUAUUACUAUGUUGAUAACU